rnacentral:rRNA from 1 species
GACGAACGCUGGCGGCGUGCUUAACACAUGCAAGUCGAACGCUGAAGCUCAGCUUUUGUUGGGUGGAUGAGUGGCGAACGGGUGAGUAACACGUGAGUAACCUGCCUCCUUCUUUGGGAUAACGCCCGGAAACGGGUGCUAAUACUGGAUAUUCACUGGUCUUCGCAUGGGGGUUGGUGGAAAGGGUUUUUCUGGUGGGGGAUGGGCUCGCGGCCUAUCAGCUUGUUGGUGGGGUGAUGGCCUACCAAGGCUUUGACGGGUAGCCGGCCUGAGAGGGUGACCGGUCACAUUGGGACUGAGAUACGGCCCAGACUCCUACGGGAGGCAGCAGUGGGGAAUAUUGCACAAUGGGCGCAAGCCUGAUGCAGCGACGCCGCGUGAGGGAUGGAGGCCUUCGGGUUGUGAAACUCUUUCGCUCAUGGUCAAGCCGCAACAAUGGUUGUGGUGAGGGUAGUGGGUAAAGAAGCGCCGGCUAACUACGUG